rnacentral:rRNA from 1 species
UACGGAGGGUGCAAGCGUUAUCCGGAUUCACUGGGUUUAAAGGGUGCGUAGGUGGGCAGGUAAGUCAAUGGUGAAAUCUCCGAGCUUAACUCGGAAACUGCCGUUGAUACUAUUUGUCUUGAAUAUUGUGGAGGUAAGCGGAAUAUGUCAUGUAGCGGUGAAAUGCUUAGAUAUGACAUAGAACACCAAUUGCGAAGGCAGCUUACUACACAACGAUUGACGCUGAGGCACGAAAGCGUGGGGAUCAAACAGG